rnacentral:rRNA from 1 species
GACGAACGCUGGCGGCGUGCUUAACACAUGCAAGUCGAACGGAAAGGCUCCAGCUUGCUGGAGUGCUCGAGUGGCGAACGGGUGAGUAACACGUGGGCAAUCUGCCCUGCACUCUGGGAUAAGCCUGGGAAACUGGGUCUAAUACCGGAUAGGACCUUUCUCCUCAUGGGGUUUGGUGGAAAGUGUUUCGGUGCAGGAUGAGCCCGCGGCCUAUCAGCUUGUUGGUGGGGUAAUGGCCUACCAAGGCGACGACGGGUAGCCGGCCUGAGAGGGUGAUCGGCCACAUUGGGACUGAGAUACGGCCCAGACUCCUACGGGAGGCAGCAGUGGGGAAUAUUGCACAAUGGGCGAAAGCCUGAUGCAGCGACGCCGCGUGAGGGAUGACGGCCUUCGGGUUGUAAACCUCUUUCAGUAGGGACGAAGCGCAAGUGACGGUACCUGCAGAAGAAGCACCGGCUAACUACGUG